GACGAACGCUGGUGGCGUGCUUAACACAUGCAAGUCGAACGAAGUGGCGAACGGGUGAGUAACGCGUAAUCAACCUGCCCUUCAGAGGGGGACAACAGUUGGAAACGACUGCUAAUACCGCAAACUGAAGGAGGGGAUGGCGUCUGAUUAGCUAGUUGGAGGGGUAACGGCCCACCAAGGCGAUGAUCAGUAGCCGGUCUGCGAGGAUGAACGGCCACAUUGGGCUUGAGACACGGCCCAGACCCCUACGGGAGGCAGCAGUGGGGAAUCUUCCGCAAUGGACGAAAGUCUGACGGAGCAACGCCGCGUGAGUGAUGACGGCCUUCGGGUUGUAAAGCUCUGUUAAUCGGGACGCGGUACCGGAAUAGAAAGCCACGGCUAACUACGUGCCAGCAGCCGCGGUAAUUC
rnacentral:rRNA from 1 species